GGAAUUUUAGUAAUAAAUUUAUAAUUAACGUAUAUUUAUUUUAUGUUAAUUACGUUCUAAAUAUUUAACGAUUUAUGAAAUCAAAAUAGUUUUAGAAUUUUACUUUGAAAAGAAUUUGAAUUACAAAAACGCUUUGAUUUUGGAAAACAAUCCUAACCAUUCUGGAUUCAAGCAACCUCAAUCCUAAUUCUCAAUCCUAAUUCUAGCCCAAUUGGGUGAAGCCCAAAUAACAAAAACCCAAACUCUUUACUCCCUUUUCUAAUCCAACUUCACGUAAAACCCAAACAAGAAGAAGAAAAAAAAACAAAAACAAAAACUCUCCCUCCUAUUCCUUCACGUGAAAAACAGUUUUGCAAACCCUCCUUCUUGCUCCUUCACGUAAUUCUGCAGAAUUGCUUCACCUUACCGCCGUCGGUCAACCAACCACACUGGACCACCGUCGUCCCUCCGUCGUCGCCACCGCACAACCACCGAGUGCCACCAUCUCUUGCGCCACCGUUCUGUGCCGUGCCACCAGCCACCAGCCACCGCGCACCAACCGUCGCUGCUGGUCUCUAGCCAGCGUUCUUCUUCGUUCCCCUUUCUUUCCCUUCCUGCUUUGCUUCCCCUCUCAAAUCGCUGCAAGCCGCGCCGCCUGCCGACCACCGCAACCACCAGUGGCGUUGCCCAGUCGCUGCGCCACCUUCCCACCUGCUGCCGCGCCGCCACUGCCGCCGGCCAGCAACUUCUCUCCCUCACUUUUGGUGGAGAAUUCUCUGUAGGCGACUUUUAAAUUAUUAAAGUGGUCUUGCAGUUUGUUUACACAAGUCUCUAAGGAUCAAUAAGCGUUGCCCAUCUACAGGUUUGAAGAUGAUGCAUCAUUGGAAUCGGGAUUAGAGAGCUUGUAGUUAGAUUUGUUUUGUUAAGUGAUUUGGUUUGUUAAUUUGGAUUUGAAAUUUGUCAUACUAUUCGUAUUUCCUUAUUUCCGUUAAUUGGUUUUGGACUUAAUAUGUAAUCAAUUAUUUAUGAACCUAAAAGUUAGUUUUAUGUUUUCCGCUGCAAAAUUCUGAAUAAGC